rnacentral:rRNA from 1 species
UACAGAGGGGGCAAGCGUUAUUCGGAAUUAUUGGGCGUAAAGGGCGCGUAGGUGGUUCUGUAUGUCUACCGUGAAAGCGUACGGCUCAACUGUAUUUUGUCGGUAGAAACUGCAGGACUUGAGGCUGGGAGGGGCUGGUGGAAUUCCCUGUGUAGCGGUGAAAUGCGUAGAGAUGGGGGAGAACACUCGUGGCGAAGGCGACUUACUGGACACAUAUUGACGCUGAGGUGCGAAAGCGUGGGGAGCAAACAGG